UAGUUGCUUCUGUAUAAACGGUAAUUGUCAAACUGUGUUUGCAAUGUUGUGAUGCGCACAGCAGACUCUCACGAAUAGGAGUGAGGUAAAUGACAAAUUGGAUAUGAGUUUAGCUCUUGCUUCAGUUCUUUCUUCGGCAUACCAAAAUCGGGAAUUUCCAGAUUGAGAUGUUGCCAGACUGCUGUCCGGCUACUGAAUAUCUGCUGAUACAUUGCACAUCAAGUUUGUACAGGAUUAAAUUUACAAAGAUUAAUGACAGCUGGAACUGGGGUUCUUUUGAAGACCCUGAACUGGAGUUACACACUGACUUUGUGGAAAUGGGACCCACUGUCGGGGCUGUAUGAUCGGUCGCUGUUCGAUAUGCCAAGGAUGCAGCCUGGAAGAUUAGCGCACCUUCAGGAUGCCGGAUUUUUGUGGCUCUGGAGGUGGGCGGAUUCAAGGUCGGUGCUGCUGCCUGGUGUGUUGUGGGAGUACACGGAAGAUCGAAAGCAGCGAGCUGGCUGCUGGCUGUGUGCCCGGAGACCCAAGAUCUUUGGGCACAAAGCUCGGAAAAAGUGACACAACAGACUUUUAACACCAUAAAUUGGAAAGUUGUUUGGUUAUGUCUCCCUUCCCGCUGUGAAACAGGGACACCUCUUUUUCCCUUAUUAGGGAGAGAGAGAGCCUGUGGUUUGUCGAAUACCGGGUGAAUGAGUAGUCUUUGGGGUACUGCAAGUCUGUGUCUUUAUUGAUGCUUCGCUGCACGCUGGAGUGCUCGGUGGAAGCUUUUUUGCUGGUGGGGAAGGGGUGUGUUGCUUUGCUGCUGCUUAUGUGUGGGUGAGGGGGGAGCUGGGGAGGGGACUUCGGGGUUCUAAUAUUUAAAUGUCAUUCAUUCUUUGGGGCACUCCUCUAUUUUCCUAGAUGUUCGCGAAGAAAAAGAAUUUCGGGAUAUAUAUUGUAUACAUUUCUCUGACAUUAAAUGUACCUGUUGAGACAUAAAAGUAUGUAGACAUAGUCCUGCUAAAGGGUUUUGUACUGUUUUCCUAGAUCCUGCCUGGCUUGCCGAGUUCCUUCAGCAUUUUGUGUGUUUCUUGGAUAUCCAGCAUCUGCAAAUUUUCUCGUUUGUAAACAUAGUCAAAAGGCGGAGCUUAGGAGGGUUAAUGGUGCCUAACAGCGACUCCUUUGCUUGCAUCUAUGGAAAUAGCUCUAUUUCCAUCUUUAAUAUCUCUAUUUUUCCCUUUCAGGAUUCUUUUGAAGAUCCUGACCUGGAGUUACAUGCUGAUUAUGUCUCCCCUCCCGGCAUGAGAUGGGGGACACCUCUUUUUCCCCAUAUUAGGGAGAGAGAGAAAGAGAGAGAGAGCCUGUGGUAUGUCGAAUACUGGGUGAAAUGUGAAGUCUUUGGGGUAAAUGCAUAUCUGCGUCUUUGCUAUUGCUUUGCUCACACUUGUGCUUGGUGGUGGUGCUGAUGCAUUUUUUUGCCAGUGGGGGGGGGGGAGUCGUUGCUCGCUGCCACUUACGCGUAAAAGAGGGGAGCUGGGGGGGGUACUUUGGUGUUCUAACAUUUAACUGUUGUUCAUUCUUUGGGGCACUCCUCUGUUUUCGUGGAUGGUUGCGAAGAAAAAGCAUUUCAGAAUGUAUAUUGUAUACAUUUCUCUGACAUUAAAUUGUACCUUUGAACUUUUGAAGGUUCAGUUGUUGUUCGGACCAAACAUCAGAAUGGGAAAGAAAUGUGAUCUAGGUGAUUUUGACCGUGGAACGUUGAUGCCAGACAGGAUGGUUUUUGUAUCUUAGAAACUACCUAAUCUCCUGUAUUUUCUGCCAUACUUCACAAUACCCUGAAUAAACUUUUGUUUUGACUGUGUGCUUAACUAUGGAUUUACUGUCCAAUGUAUCAGUAGAAAUAUUAUAGCUGUCUGCAGAUCUAACUUUUACCUCAUGCGAGACGUUUAGUUUCAACACUUUGGCUGUGUAUCUGUAAUUCAUUCCACACCCAUUGCUCCUGGCUGUUUGUUUGGUGUGCUCAUGCAAAAGUGGAAUUCUGUUUAAAAACAUAUCUGUACUCUGCUGCUAAUUAUUCUGCUGGUGAUUGACAAUGAGUAAUUAGCAGCUGCUAACCCUGGAAGUUCUCAUUGUUCUUUGCAGCUUUUAAUAGAAGUUGGCUAAGAAAGAGUGCUUUGUUCAGUGGUUCGAGGAAGUAAAUUACUUUGGAACACAUAAUUUUUAACAGAUCACAGAAUCGUUACUUUGCAAGGAAAUGCAUUUCUCUCCCAACCUAUGCCCGUCAGUUUUAUUUUGGUGGGGAAAAUUGUAAAAUGCCAUAGAUGCUGAAAACGUGCAAGGUUAAAAGACAUUGGAAACAUCAGACAGAAUCUGAAAAGAACAGGCGAACAGGCAGUGGCAGUUUAAGUGCAGACUCCGUCAGAGAAUAAAAACUAUGCAUUCAGGAAAAUAAACAGAACAAAACCACUUGGGUAAGAAUAAAAGACAGUAAAGUGGCAAGACGUGUGUUCAAAAAAAAAAGACAAGGAAAGAAAUAAAUUGAAAUAAACAUUUCUCUCUAAAUAAGCGAUACAGACAAGCCAACAACAGAGUAUGAAUAUUUAAAAAGGAUUGCUAUAUUGGAAUAAUUAUGCUGAAAGCAAAGCAUCAAACUAAAACAGGUUUCUGUACCGAACAGUGUUGUCAAUCUCACUGCUGGUGGAACGCUACUAUUGACAACUUGCUACUGUUAGAUAUCCCUUUCCCAUAAUCUCUAGAAUACCAACAAAUACUAGAACAGGUGAGCAUUUAGGGCAUAAGUCCAGUGGCCAACAGAAUGACAAUAACCAGACCCCAUUUAUCUCUCUGGACAGCUUCAUAAACCUUUCUUCCUGAAGUAUCAAUCUGGCUAAUGUGAAAGUGACAUCAAAAGGACUAGGAGCCAACUCACAAAUAUGUAAAUGAAAACAAAAAUAAGACCAUAAGACAUAGGAGCAGAAUUAGGCCAUUUGGCCAUCGAGUCUGCCCUGCCAUUCAAUUUCUCUGCAUCUGUUUUAAAUGGAUGCCCCUCUAUCGUGAGGCUGUGCCCUCUUGUCCUAGACUCCGCCACCAUGGGAAACAUCCUUUCCACAUCUACUCUGUCUAGGCCUUUCAACAUUCAAAAGGUUUCAAACAGAUCCCCUUUCAUCCUUCUAAA